CGUGGGCUAGUUCUUACUAGCCCUCAAGGCACAGAGAUUUGGAAAUCUGAUGUCAACUUGGGGGAUGCUGAAAAUGGUUUCAUGAAUGAUACAGGCAACCUCAUACUAUCAAAUUCAGCCUCUGAAAUUUUAUGGCAGAGCUUCGAUCAUCCGACUGAUACAUUGUUGCCUGGACAGACACUGAAGAGAUUGUCGCCGGGACAGACACUGGAGAGUGG
rnacentral:misc_RNA from 1 species